AAAGGUUAAUUGACAUAUCAUAAUUUGUCAACUUAUCAAGUAAACAAUUUCAGCUUAGGUAAGUCACACACUAACGAAGUAUAUUACUCGUCUCUCCCCUCUUAGUUCUAGACUUUUAUCUCCGCCAGCGACCAUAUCCCUAAACUCUGAUACCAAAUGUGACACCCCCAAAACAGGUAUACAUCACCCAUCUUGAGUUUCCAGAAAAUACACUAUAAAAAUCAUUUACAACUUUAUUUAUACAACUGUCGUGCAAAAUACGACGACAUGUAUACUGUGAGUUUAAAUAUAAAUACAUAUACCAACUCUGACUCAUGUCAUAAUUGCACCUUACAUAAAGGUACAGUAAAAAACUGUUUUAGAAAUUAAAAUCUUUGGAAAGUGCUCAAGGAAACCUUCGUACAUAGGAGGCCAUGAAUCUAAGUUAUGAUAUAUAUCAUAUGUCCAGAGAAUUAUCCUUGGUUGACCCAAUAGACCCCAAAGAAAAACGAG
rnacentral:lncRNA from 1 species